rnacentral:rRNA from 1 species
AGAGUUUGAUCCUGGCUCAGGAUGAACGCUAGCGACAGGCCUAACACAUGCAAGUCGAGGGGCAGCGAAGAGGUAGCAAUACCUUGUCGGCGACCGGCGCACGGGUGAGUAACACGUAUGCAAUCCACCUGUAACAGGGGGAGUAACCCGGACGAAAUACCGGACUAAUACCCCACUAAUAUGGGCGCUCCGCAUGGAGAGCCCAUUAAAGAGAGCAAUUUUGGUUACAGACGAGCAUGCGCUCCAUUAGCCAGUUGGCGGGGUAACGGCCCACCAAAGCGACGAUGGAUAGGGGUUCUGAGAGGAAGGUCCCCCACAUUGGAACUGAGACACGGUCCAAACUCCUACGGGAGGCAGCA